CCAUCGGAUAGCUCAGUGGCAGAGCGGUGGGGCGUUUACCCAUGCGGCCCGGGUUCGAUCCCCGGUCGAUGUA